AAUUGAAAUGGUAGAAUGGCUGACC
rnacentral:piRNA from 3 species